GUGGGCCCUCGAAAUCCUGUGGAGAGAGGAUUCAGUCUGCAGAGGUCGCGAGCGAGCGGAAAAAAAUUGGCUUCUCCGAGCGGAGGCCGUCCGUUCGCCGCUCAGGGGCCGCGGCAGACGCACUUGUCUCUCUCCCCGAGGACGCCGCAGCCGGUGGGGCAGCGCAAGCGUGACGGCCUUGGGGCCGGGAGACGGCAGGUGGCCGGUGGCUGGUCUAGGCCGGUCGCCGGUUGUUAGCCUUCCCGGCAGUGGCACGUCGCUCCACCGUGGUGUCGAGAGGCCCUUCUGGGGCUUCUCCGUCUCCUCCUCCUCGCAGGAAGCCGGGACAGACGGACGCAGGCGAGGCCUCCCGGAUGCCGCACGACGGACGUCGUGGGCGCCCGAAGAGAGCAGCGCCGUUGGCGACCGCGGGCCCGUCGGAGGCUGGAGGCUUGCGGCGAGUAGGUCGGUCACCCACCCGACCCGUCUUGAAACACGGACCAAGGAGUCUAACAUGUGCGCGAGUCAAUGGGUCUUGGACAGGCCCAGGGGCGCAAUGAAAGCGAAGGACCGCAGCACGCGGUCCGGGUCGGGAUCCCCGUUGACAGCGGGGCGCACCGACGGCCCGUCCCGUCCGGCUCGCCGGUGGGGCGGAGCACGAGCGUACACGUUGGGACCCGAAAGAUGGUGAACUAUGCCCGGACAGGACGAGGCCAGAGGAAACUCUGGUGGAGGUCCGCAGCGGCUCUGACGUGCAAUCGAUCGUCAGAUCCGGGUCUAGG
rnacentral:rRNA from 1 species